UGAGUAACGCGUGGGUAACCUACCCCAAAGUCCGGGAUAACAGCGGGAAACCGCUGCUAAUACCGGAUGCCUUUACCUUGGGGCAUCUUGAGGUAAAGAAAGGCAACGCUUUGGGAUGGGCCCGCGUCCCAUUAGCUAGUUGGUGAGGUAACGGCUCACCAAGGCGACGAUGGGUAGCCGGCCUGAGAGGGUGGACGGCCACACUGGGACUGAGACACGGCCCAGACUCCUACGGGAGGCAGCAGUAGGGAAUAUUGCGCAAUGGACGGAAGUCUGACGCAGCGACGCCGCGUGAGCGAUGAAGGUCUUCGGAUCGUAAAGCUCUGUCCUUGGGGAAGAAGGCGAAAGCUUGACGGUACCCAAGAAGAAAGCCCCGGCUAACUACGUGCCAGCAGCCGCGGUAAUACGUAGGGGGCGAGCGUUGCCCGGAAUUACUGGGCGUAAAGGGUGCGUAGGCGGCCCUUUAAGUCGGAUGUGAA
rnacentral:rRNA from 1 species